rfam:Chryseobacterium takakiae strain DSM 26898 genome assembly, contig: Ga0131160_104
AAAGCGUUAUCCGAAAAGCUAUAAGAGAGUAGGAA